GGUUGUGGCUCAGUGGUAGGGCACUUGCUUCUCACGUGUGAGAUACUGGGUUCGAUCCUCAGCACCA
rnacentral:tRNA from 1 species